AGAUGAUUAAGUUUCAAAUUGUUUUUCUUUGUGUUGUUGGAAACGAGACUUUAAUGUGGUCCCUCCCCUAGCAGGGGACCUGGCCUAGCCUCAGUCCCCUGCCCCAGACCCUGCUCACCCCUGUCUAAGCCCUUUCCUCUCUGAAUUGUUAUCUUGGGGAAGGAUCCAAGGCUAUUUCCCCAGGGAUCUCUUCCAAGUAGUUUGUGUGAGGUGGGGGGAGGGGGAGGGAAUCCACUUCUUCCUCAGGAGUAUAUAAAGUUCUCUCCUACACACUUAUUGAUCCCACCAAGCCUGACCUAGAAUGGCCCAUGAAUGCCAACUUGUCUGUCCAGUGGUCUGUGGAUUGAUGAAGAGUUAGUGUUACUCUGGAAGACAACCAAUUUUCUUCUCAAGGCAAACCAGAUCCUUCAGACAACUUCUUUCCUGAUCUGAGAUUCUUCAUUACAACGAUGGCAGAUGCAUCAUGACAUUUACUUCUACAAAUGUAAGGUUUAGAACUGGCCUUUCUCUGGUCUCUGUCAAGCAAAGGAAUUGAAUCUGCUUGAGCAUGUUUCUGUAAUUGAUCUCCCCAAUUCUCCAGCUACCCAGGUCCUUCUCAUCCUUCAAGGCUCAGCUCAAGUCCUAACCUCCUCCCUGAAACCUUCUCCCACUGCCCAGGUACUCAUUGAUGCAGUCUCCCUCCUUUAAAUUCCUGCAGCACUUAUUGUCUGCACUGAUCAUUCUGGCCCCUAAUCAGAGGCUAUGUCAUGUUGUUAUUUAACUGUUUCACAUCUGAUUCUUGAUUCCUAAGUGAAGUUAUAAACCUACUAAUGACAAGGACUGUGCCUUAUACUUUUCUGGUAUCAUCAGCUCUCAGGAACAGAGGCAAAAAGAGAUAGGCACAAGACUGGGAAGAAGGGUAAAUCUGGACCGUUAGUCUUGAAGUUUGGAUACCCCUCUGUGGCUGAGAUCACAUCCCCUUUCAAUUUUUCAGAAAGCAGAGGUUAUGUCUUCACUUCAGAGACCCCCUAUAAGUGACAAGUAUGGGUAUUAAUAAAUAUUGCUGGCUGUCUGAAAGCUUAAUUUAU
rnacentral:lncRNA from 1 species